rnacentral:snRNA from 1 species
GGAUGUGAGGGCGAUCUGGCUGCGACAUCUGUCACCCCAUUGAUCGCCAGGGUUGAUUCGGCUGAUCCGGCUGCGCGCUCGGUCGAAGAGGACGACCAUCCCCGAUAGAGGAGGACCGUUCUUCGGUCAAGGGUAUACGAGUGGUUGCGCUCCCCUGCUAGAACCUCCAGACAAGCUCUCAAGGGCCUACCAUAUUCCUUUUUUAAAAUUUUGUUUAGGGUGGGGCCAGCAGGUGGCAUGGUGGUUAAGGUGCUGGACUCCCCCAUGGCAGACUGCAGUUCGAG